UGGGGGGAGAGGGAAAGAAAAGUGACAGACAGACAUAACUACUGUGUAUUCAGAGAAGAAAUUUUUGGUUAAUUGUUAUCUGAAGCAGUGCUAAACUUCUUAGAGAAACCCUCCAAAAAAGGUUAGGGUUUGCACCUGGCUUCUCUCAAGACUUGCAUACUACUUGGCAUGGUGGUUAAGAACAUCACAUAGUAUGGUAAAGAGGUGUACAAUGACAGGGACACUCCCACACAGAAGAGAACCAUUCGUUUUGAGACAAUACGUUUGCAUAUU
rnacentral:lncRNA from 1 species